rnacentral:rRNA from 1 species
GACGAACGCUGGCGGCGUGCGUAACACAUGCAAGUCGAACGAGAGAGUGAGAGAAGCUUGCUUUUCUUAUGAUCGAGUGGCAAACGGGUGAGUAACGCGUAAACAACCUGCCCCGCAGAUGGGGAUAACAGCUGGAAACGGCUGCUAAUACCGAAUACGGUCCUCUUAGCGCAUGGUAAGAGGAAGAAAGGGUGGCCUCUGGAACAAGCUACCGCUGUGGGAGGGGUUUGCGUCUGAUUAGCUGGUUGGAGGGGUAACGGCCCACCAAGGCGACGAUCAGUAGCCGGUCUGAGAGGAUGAACGGCCACAUUGGAACUGAGACACGGUCCAGACUCCUACGGGAGGCAGCAGUGGGGAAUCUUCCGCAAUGGGCGAAAGCCUGACGGAGCAACGCCGCGUGAGUGAAGACGGCCUUCGGGUUGUAAAGCUCUGUUAUAGGGGACGAACGGCCGGGUAGCGAAGAGUACCCG